UUUAUUAUGGAAUGAUGAAUGGACCACAAAAUAGAUUCAUUGAACUCCUAAGAGAGCGAAAGCCCUGGACUGUGAGCAGCGAGCACAGAAGAAAUGAGAACAUUCCUUGUCCCCUCUCUACCCCAGAUGUCCCCACUAAAAUAUACCCAAGUAACUUCUGGAUUUUCUGAGUGACAGAAGUUAUUGACAUACCAAAUUGGUACUGAGAGUGAACAUUUUGCUAUUCCUGAUAAUGUGAUUUGAAGUCUCUGCAAAUAUAUGGUGGGAAGAAUUUGGAAAUGUUUUGGAUACUGUCUAGGAAAGGCUUGAAAUGCUGGCCUCAAAACUAAGAGUUUGUCCUGAGUCUCAGAAGAAAUUUGGACUUGAAUUUUUGAGCAAUACUGGAACUGUGAAACUAUAUGGACUCUUGAUUAGGAGCUGAAUACUUUCUGCGUUGCGAUAAACAUGAGCUUUUGUGGGUCAGGUAUAGAUAUCUCCUCCAUUUAGACCGAGAUGUGUUUGGCUAUACAGUUGACAGAACGUGGGCUGUGAUGUUUAAUCAGGCUAAGUUGAUGAGAUUGAGAAGGGGCGAGGAGACUGGGAAAGCACAUCCCGGGAUAUGUCUGUGAGGUCAUUUCUAAUGUGUAAUGAAGUGGGGGAAAACAUGGUUAUCUUCAGCUGUAAGCUUUAAUAAUUUUUAACUGUUGUUCUUUAAA